UCGGUUGGAUCGCCUCCUUGACCAUGGAUACGGGGACUCUCGUUGUCCGAGCGACAGGUGCGCUCACGCAACGCAAGGCACGCACAAGGACCGAUGCACGCCACAACGUACGCCCAACGAGAGCUACACCUCAUUUCUCUACUCUCGCGUUCGUACACCAUCGCGAUCCCAACUACCGCAUCAUAUUCAUACAUACAUUUAUCUACGCGCCGAUCGAUCGACCGGUCGCUGUCGAAGCUGCCGGCCCCGGCCACCUCCGGUUGCGGGCCGGCCAUGGACAGCAGCCGCCACGACCACGCGCGCGCUCCCUUCCUUCCUUGUUAGCGAGGUCAAACGGCAUGCGCGUAUAAAGAUCCCGUCCAUGGCCGCGGUCGAUUGGAGGUU
rnacentral:lncRNA from 1 species